GAUGAACGCUGGCGGCGUGCUUAACACAUGCGAGUCGAACGAUGAAGCCCAGCUUGCUGGGUGGAUUAGUGGCGAACGGGUGAGUAACACGUGAGUAACCUGCCCUUAACUCUGGGAUAAGCCUGGGAAACUGGGUCUAAUACCGGAUAGGAGCGUCCACCGCAUGGUGGGUGUUGGAAAGAUUUAUCGGUUUUGGAUGGACUCGCGGCCUAUCAGCUUGUUGGUGAGGUAAUGGCUAACCAAGGCGACGACGGGUAGCCGGCCUGAGAGGGUGACCGGCCACACUGGGACUGAGAGACGGCCCAGACUCCUACGGGAGGCAGCAGUGGGGAAUAUUGCACAAUGGGCGCAAGCCUGAUGCAGCGACGCCGCGUGAGGGAUGACGGCCUUCGGGUUGUAAACCUCUUUCAGUAGGGAAGAAGCGAAAGUGACGGUACCUGCAGAAGAAGCACCGGCUAACUACGUG
rnacentral:rRNA from 1 species